UUUUGUUUGUAUGAAUUAUCGUGUCUUCUUUACACGAAACAAUGGAAGAUUUAUUGUCUGAGUGGGAAUGCGUGUUAUUAUUAUGAGAAAUACGAAUUCAUUUCGAGAUUAAAACUCUUGAUUGGUGCGCAUUUUGACGCCGCAU
ensembl:ncRNA F55C12.12 ncRNA